rnacentral:lncRNA from 1 species
AUGCCUUCAGUAUUCCAGUUCUUUAAGAAACCUCUAAUAUUUUCCUCCUGCUGGCAGUUCGUUUUAAUUGGUACUGUGCUCUUCUUGUGCAGCUUCUGUGACUGGGGGGGCUCACAGCAUUGCUAUAUGGUUAGCCCCGCCUAUUUUCUGUCUCUUCCUGUGUGCAACCUGCCUGACUCAUGCCUUUCUGUCUGUUGCUGUGUGGUGAAGUUAAUAGUAACUUACCAUGGGUGUAUUAAGAAUAAGACAUUUGUUAGCUAUGGUGUCACAACCUCUGUGCUAGGAAGAGGGCUACCCAGUCUAACCAGCAAGAGAACUGUACAUGCUAAAUGGAGAGAAGUUUGCAGAAGCCAUCCCAUUUGCUUCAGCUGACUGUACAGUGCCAAUUUUGUAGUUGUCUGCAAAGGAUGUUGAAGGCAGAAAGAAAAGGCAGAGUGGGGAAAAAAAUGAAUUAUAAACAGCACAGGAAAGUUCACCUCAAGAAGUUGUUGAGAGGAAUUUGAAUUACAGAGAACUGACGAGACACAGCCAGUUAGCCUGAAGUGCUGGAAGAGUAGCAGUGUUCUAGGAUCAGCAGUGACCUCAAGCAGGAAGAUGUGUUCACCAGCAUGAACCACUGUUAUCCCUGGAUGCCUGGAGCUGGCCACCAGGAUGCUCUGGAGUAACCUGGGUUGUAGGAGGGAUGCUGGAGAGCAUCCACCCUUGCUGGAGCAGCCAGCAAUUGACCAGAUAGAAAUUUUUGACCCAGGAGAGUCCUGGAAGAUGUGAUACGUUCUGGAGAGAAAACCAGGUGACCAAGAGAAGGAGCCUGCUUUAAAAGAUGGAUUAGAAGAGCAAUCUGCCCCAUGUAUAAUUCCUCAGGCAGUAUGGAUUGCAUCUUUUUACCUUAAAAUAAAGGCAGUGGUGACACUGGGCUCCA